UAAAACGUAGGUCCCGAGCGUUAUCCGGAUUUACUGGGCGUAAAGCGCGUUCAGGCGGCUGCUCAAGUCGGGCAUGAAAUCUCUCGGCUCAACCGGGAGGGGCUGUCCGAAACUGAGCGGCUUGAGGGCAGUAGAGGGUGGUGGAAUUCCGGGUGUAGUGGUGAAAUGCGUAGAGAUCCGGAGGAACACCAGUGGCGAAAGCGGCCACCUGGACUGUACCUGACGCUCAAACGCGAAAGCUAGGGGAGCGAACGGGAUUAGAAACCCCGGUAGUCCUAGCCAUAAACGAUGUUGACUAGGUGUCAGCGGUCUAAACCCCGUUGGUGCCGGAGCCAACGCACUAAGUCAACCGCCUGGGGACUACGGCCGCAAGGCUA
rnacentral:rRNA from 1 species